GAUUAACGUCGCUCUUUUCAGCUUCAACUGUUUGCUUUUGUGACUUCGCCCUGCAUUCACGGCGACAACAGAUAAAAGACGAACAAAGCGGGGAGGAAAGAAACAUUAAAGGCUCACCUGUGGGCAGCGGGAGGGUCAUCCCCUGCCGAGGUCGCGUAUACGAGAAAGGCCUCAUGCCAGGCUCUGAGGUGUCAUACCCGGUGCGGUACCUGUCCGGGUUCUGGGCGGCCCUGCGGUACCGCUCCGCCUCCCUCUCUGAGUAGGGAGGCAAAGAAUCCUCAUCUUCUGGACGGUUGCUAGGCGAUCGGCUGUAGUAGCUGCUGCCUUUCCCUCUGGAGCUGCCUUUGGAGGGGGUGUCACUGUCCUCAUCCGCUCUGCCUCUGUCGCCGCCGGGCCUCCUCGCUUUGUUCUCCAGCACGUGGUUGAGGAAGGCGUCGUCGUAAUCCCGGGGACGGGGCGGUCGGGAGGCGAGUUCGCUGUCCCACGUGCCCCUUCUUUUCUGCGGUAAAGGAGAGGGGCUGCGACGAGCCCAGCCGUCAUCCACGUCUCUGUAGGAACGUCUCGGAGGGCUGUAAUCACGGACCUCUAGCGCCUCUGGACGGCGGCUACGGGAACCGUACGAGCGGGCAAAUUCCUCCAGCUCGUCCAGCGAACCGGUGUGCCCUCUUCUGCUCAGAGUUUUUCUCUGGAGGUGCUCUGAGUGAGUGUUCCAUCUGUGGCAAUGAACGGGACAAAUGGAUAAAGACCAACAUGCGCUCAUCGUCCGAGUGGUUGUCACGAUCCCGGAGCCUGUGUCUGCGGCUUUGGGCGGGCGGGGCCCCUCCCAGCAUCGACCGGUCAUCGGCGUCGGCGAUGGGAGGCAGCGCCUUCAUCUGGACGGUCUGGUAGGUGUGUCUGAAAUCUGUAUUUCCUCCCUCGUGGAGAGAGCUGAGCUCUGAUAGGCUUCUGGCUGUUUGGACACACGCAUUAGAUGUUGAAUUAUGACGUGGAAAUGUCGCUAACAAUGUACAGUGGAACCUCUAGGGUGGAAUUUGUUUGGAUUAAGAAACAAUCGAAGUGGAGAAAAUAAGAUGUCACCUUUUAUUAAAACCGCCAAGUGCGUGUAAAAAGAAGCUAACCACAAUAAACUGUUCAUGUGAAAGUUAUAGCACA